rnacentral:RNase_P_RNA from 1 species
GGAGCGGGUCGGGCGGUCGCCCCGCACCAAAAACAUAUUGUUCACGGCAAGCCGAUUCGUCCAUGGCGGGUUCGCCGUGCUGGACGACCGGGCAGAAUGGGACAAUAUGUUUUUGGUGCGGGGAGGAAAGUCCGAGCAGGGCAGGGCACGGUGGUGGUUAACGGCCACCCGGAGCGAUCCGAGGGAAAGUGCCACAGAAACCACACGGCCGAUGGCCCCACGGGGCACAGGCAAAGGUGAAAUGGUGCGGUAAGAGCGCACCGCGGCGGCGGCGACGUCGCCGGCAGGGUAAACCCCACCGCCUGCAAGACCAAGCAAGCUGGUCAGCCGGCCCGGUCAUAAUCCAGCGGGUAGGUCGCUCGUCCGUGGGGAAAACCCGCGGGCGGAGCCGGUCGGCAACGGCCGGUCCAGAGAAAUGACCGCCCCCCCGCACCAAAAACAUAUUGGACACGUCAAACCGAUUCGCCCAUGACGGGUUCGCCGCGAUGGACGAACGGUCAGAACGGGACAAUAUGUUUUUGGCGCGGGGGACAGAACUCGGCUUAUAGACCCGCUCCGCUU